rfam:Gossypium arboreum cultivar AKA8401 contig_1262_13, whole genome shotgun sequence.
UAUUAAAAAUUUCAUCUAUUUAUACUAUUAAAAACGAGUGUGAGUAACAGAAUAACCAAACAGUGACACAUGAUGUGCCACAUGUACUUCAUAUUGAUAUAUAAGGACCAAUUUUUAACAGUAAAAAUGGAUAAAAUUUUAACA